GUAAUGCCUGACAUGCUGGUCUACAGGGUUCAGAUGCUGAGGAUGGUUCCAUUGCUGAAGCGAGCAGGGUAAUAGAGAAGAUAACGCAUCAGAGCUGCAGCACUUCAAGAAGUGAAAGCCCUUCAGAACUCUCAGAACACAAAAAGAAACACAGAAAGAGAGAGAAAGAAAAGAAGGAAGAUGAUAAAUCAGUUAAGAAGCAUAAGAAGAAAGGCAAGGAUAAAGAUAAGGAGAAAGAAAGGGAUAAAGGAGGUGACAAGAAGAAAAAGAAGAAGAAGAAAGAUAAAGAUAAGGAUGGUUCAGAAGAAUUCUUUGGUGGGUCACCUGAAAAGGAAUUUGAUGAGGCAUAUGAAGCUAUUUAAUCCAGCCAUUUUUCUUACAUAUAUAUGAGAGAGUGUACUUAAGAAACUCUUCCAUGCAUUUAUUUAAUGCCAUAGUAAACACUGCUGUAGAAGGGGAUUCAAAUAUUUAAUGACAUUUUGUAAUUUUAAUAUAAACAGGAUCUUUAAAUACUCUUGAUAUUUUGUAAUAUAAAAUAUAGAGUACCUGCUCAUAAUUUUCAUUACUGUUAUUUUCAGAGUUAACAUACUCUACUUGUUAAAUGCAGUAGUUAAUAAGUUGGUUAAUCUGUACCCGAAGAAAAUAUUUAAAAUGGUCUAAUUUUUAUUAGGAGUCAGAUUUCCUAUUAACUUUAUUAUUGUUGAUACGAUACUGCAUAUUUGAGAGUUAAUUCAAAUACUGUUUAUAGAAUGCUUAUAAAAUAUUGUUUAAGUUCCUGAGGUUACACUGUGUAGAAUUACAAUAUCAUGCAAUGUAGUACAGUGGAACCCUGAGUUCCAGCCAUAAUUUGUUCCAGAAGGCUGUUCGAGUGCCGUUACCGAAUGAAUUUGUUCCUAUAAGGAAUAAUGUGAAUUAGAUUAGUCCAUUUCAGACCCCCAAAAAUACACUUACAAAAGCACUUACAAUAAUACACUUGCAUAAUUGUUCGAGUUGGGAGGCGGCCAAAACUCUGGGUACCACUGUAUUUUGGUUAACUUUUUUAAUCCGGUCUUAAUUUAUUAGAGAUGCAUCUUGAUUUUCAUCAUGGUUUAGUGUAAUUUUGAUUGAGGUGUAGUUUGAUAUCAGUUAGUGUUGUAGCUAGUUAAGUGCAUUAUCCUCAGGGACGCUUCAGUUGCCACUUCUCACAAAAUGUGCAAAGGAUAUCCUUUACAGACUUUAAAAAAAAAAAAGUGGGAUUUUGUUACUAAGAAAGAUACUAGACUCUCAGAAUAUUUGAUAAUUGUAUCUAUCCAAAAGAAUUUAUAAUGAUAAAAUAUUAACAUCAGUCAUUGCUUGGCCAUCCAGGAAAAACAAUAAUCAUGCGGUACAAUAUUUGAGAAAAUUACCAUAUACAGUAUACUAAAGCAUAGGUUGAUCUCACGUAUAAGUCAACUCAUGACCUUUCUGCCAAAAACUUAAUUUUCAUGUAUCUCAUGUAUGAGUUAACUUUAGUUUUAAGAGGACAGUAAAAUAUUUGAUAAUUAAAGUACUGUACUGGAUAUUGUCCUCAAAUACCAUACAUUAAGACGUUCAAAAUGCACAUGGUAUGAAUAUGAGUUGCAUGUAGAUAUACAUGCAACUCAUAGCUGUACAUAAUCCUUUCGUUGGGGUACCUUAAUGCUGGUGAAGAGUUCUAUCCAAAGAAUUUAAAUUACCUUUCCUUUUUUAUGCUGUGCUGCAUAACCCUUGUAGGUUUAGCACUUUUUUUUAUUGUUAUUUUUUAUCAUUGUUCUUUUUUUAUAUCAAACCUGCUUGCAUUCCAGUUCCCAAGUGCUUUUUGACCUUCAGGGGUAUAGUUCUUCCUUAUGAAUAUAAUAAUAAUCUGUAUAAAUAUUGUACUUAUUAAAAAAAGGAAAGUAUCUCAGUCCGAUAUUGUCUCCUGUCAUAUUUUAACCUAACUCGCAUGUAUGAAAAUUAUGAAAUUAAAUGGAAACCAACUUCUAGAUAGUGUAGGUAAACUUUGUUAUAAUGAGGUAUAUACAUGUGGAUUUUGACCAUUUAAUUACAGUGCCUAUAAAUAAGUUAUCUCCUUAGUUUUUACCAAAAACUUGGUCUUAAAGCUUCACCUAUAUUCAGAUUUUUUAACAUCUCCAGAUAUAUACACUAAAGUGUUUUACUUAUCACCUGAACUGAACAAUUCAAUUUAUUCAGUUAUUAUUAUUGAUGGUAACAGCUGAAUCUAUAAGGGUCAUACAAUGCCUAGGAAUGGGAGGCUUGAUUGGAGGAAGGAGAGAGUAAUUUCUAUUCCCCUCCCUUGCCAGCCAGCAUCAGGGUACCUCCUAUUAAAGGAUUUGUGACAUUAACUGUAAAUAUAUAAACAUCUUUAUACUGCAACUAAAUACAGUAAUGGAUUUUCUUCCCUAACUUUAAGCCUGUAAUUAGGCCUAGUUUACAAAGUACACACUGCCAAUACUGAUUUUGACUUUAAACCCAUAGUUCUCCAAAUACAAAAGUGAAGCAAUUGAAAUUAAUCCUCCUUUUGCUAACAAGGCUUGUUGCUUUAAAAGUUUGUCUUCCCAUGAAAGGUAGAUGGAUUUGAUAUAGAGCAGAAUUCUCAACAUCCACAAACAAGUUUCUGCUUCUUUCAUAUUCCACUUUGGCUAACAUAAGUGGUUAUUUGCAUUGUUGUAAUUAGAAAAAUUAACUUUAGUAGUUCCAAAAGUGGCUCAUUAUUGGAAAUUAAUUUUCCAACUUUGUUUAUUAAGUCAGCAUUGAAAGUUUAAAAAUUUUACCUGUACAGUUACUUGUGAGGUACUUGGUGUGUUUUUCCUCAUUCAUUAUGCCUAGCUUCAUGCUUUACAGAAAAAGUUAAAGGUUGCAUUUCUUCUUCUUUCAACAAACCGGUCGUAUCCCACCUAAGCAGGUAGCCCCAAAAGAAAAACAAAAGUUUCUCUUUUUAACUUUAGUAAUGUAUACAUGGUAAGGGGUUAAUAGCCCCAUACUCCUGGCAUGUUAGUUGCCUCUUAUACCCUCCACCUGGAGGGCCCAAGAAAGAAGACAGAAGAAAGAAGAAGAUGAACGACACCCCCAACCGGUGGCCACAGCCGGGUCACCAUAUGGAGAAGACCCGGGCCGGAAGUACCAGCGAACCUCUAAUGAAUGAAUGAAUGUUGCCUCUUAUGAUAUGCAUGGCUUACGGAGGAAGAAUUCUCUUCCACUUCCCCAUGGAAAUAAGAGGAAAUAAACAAGAACUAGUGAAAAUAGACAUACCUGAAAUCUUGCGUGUUUCUUCUUCUUUCAACAUACCAGCCGUAUCUCACUGAGGUGGGGUGGCCCAAAAGGAAAAACGAAAGUUUCUCCCUUUAAAUUUAGUAAUAUAUACAGGAGAAGGGGCUACUAGCCCCUUGCUCCCGGCAUUUUAGUUGCCUCUUACAACACGCAUGGCUUACAGAGGAAGAAUUCUGUUCCACUUCCCCAUGGAAAUAAGAGGAAAUAAACAAGAACAAGAACUAGAAAGAAAAUAGAAGAAAACCCAGAGGGAUGUGUAUAUAUAUAUAUAUAUAUAUAUAUAUAUAUAUAUAUAUAUAUAUAUAUAUAUAUAUAUAUAUGCUUGUACUUGUAUGUGUAGUGUGACCUAAGUGUAAGUAGAAGCAAGACGUACCUGAAAUCUUGCAUGUUUAUGAGACAGAAAAAAAAGACCAGCAAUCCUGCCAUCAUGUAAAACGAUUACAGGCUUCCAUUUUACACUCGCUUGGCUGGACAGUAGUACCUCCCUGGGCGGUUGCUGUCUACCAACCUACUGCCUAUAAGAAGCUGCAUUUCUUCUUUCUUCUUUCAACACACUAGCCGUAUUCCACCAAGGCAGGGUGGCCCAAAAAGAAAAAUGAAAGUUUCUCUUUUAAAUUUAGUAAUUUAUGCGGGAGAAGGGGUUACUAGCCCCUUGCUCCCGGCAUUUUAGUCGCCUCUUACAACACGCAUGGCUUACGGAGGAAGAAUUCUGUUCCGCUUCCCCAUGGAGAUAAGAGGAAAUAAACAAGAACAAGAACUAGAAAGAAAAUAGAAGAAUACCCAGAGGGGUGUGUAUAUAUAUGCUUGUACAUGUAUGUGUAGUGUGACCUAAGUGCAAGUAGAAGUAGAAGACAUACCUGUAAUCCUGCAUAUUUAUGAGACAGACAAAAGACACCAGCAAUCCUACCAUCAUGUAAAACAAUUACAGGCUUUCGUUUUACACUCACUUGGCAGGACGGUAGUACCUCCCUGGGUGGUUGCUGUCUACCAACCUACUGCCUAUAAGAGGCUGCAUUUAUCUGUGUAAUUAUUUCAACUUUGGGGAGGGGAGGGUGAACUCUCAUGCUUGAGCCUGCCUCACAACUUGUUUUUUUAUUAAGUGACAUAUCUUUCUUCUUUCAACAAAUAUAUAUUAACAUAAAUUA